rnacentral:lncRNA from 1 species
UGUAGCAGAACUUAGACACUCAACAGGGCACUGCUCCAGAGGGAGGAGGGAAUGGGGGGUGGAGAGGCACCAUGAGCACUUAUUUACUAAACACCUUCUCAUUGUCCCAGGGAGAAUCAGCAGGACCUCUGAGCAAGGUGCCCCGAGAAAGUGAAAGGAAUGAUGACCUCUUAAGAAAUGUUUUAUUCCCUUCCUGACGAAAUGUGGGGAAGGAGCAGUCUGCCUUUCUGGGUUCCUUCCCUUUACUCACUAACCACUGGCUCUGUCACACCUCCAGGCUUCGCUGAGGCAGUCCACUCCAACUGGAGCCCCUGCCCAACCUCCUUGUCACCCUCGGUUCCUGUGGGACACGCCUCCCCUGGCUCCCAGGCAAUACGGUCACUGCCCCUCCCACCCAGGACCCUGCCCUCCGGGACAGCUCCGGGACAGCACCGGGCCAGCCUCUUGCUUGAACUCGCCACUUGUCCUGACUGCAGUUCUGAGGGGUAAAGGUGUGUCCUAUUCACCCCACUGAACUCACAUGUGAUGGGUACACAUGAUAAAGGAAUGCCCGCUGGUGGCACAGGAAACUGAGGGUCCUGUGCCUGAGCGAUGUGACUCCAGGCUUCCCAGGAUCAGAUCCGCUGGGCACCUCCCUGAGUGACCACAGGCACGCCGAGGACAUACUCAUCCAUCACUGCUCCUUCUCCUCCCUCUGCACCUGCUGCCUUGACCCCUGUGUCAUCCUUGGCCCCGCCCCCACUAUCCCUUCUUGUCUGUCAUCAAAUCCCAUCUCUCCCACAUCCCGUGUUGUGCAGGUCCCCAUCAUCUCCCUGGCCCUCUCCAGGUGCCAUAACACCCUCCAAACACACUGCUGCCUCCCCUCCUGCCGUCCUGCUGCUCUCCAGACAGCAGCCACCAGGCCCUUUGUGUACACACUUGGGAUGUCAUGCCCUGGCUGAAAGCCCGCCAGUGGCUUCCCUGCCUUGGGAAUGUACUCUCCUUAAAGAGGCUCACAGGGCCUUCACGAUUCCACCAGAGAUUGGAACUGGUGGGCCCAGGGCCAGAUGGAAAUAGAUUUUAUUUGACCUUGUGGAGUACUGUAAACGUUCAGAUUAGCAGCUUAAACACAAAGCUCAAGGUACUGGAUUUAAUAAUCGAAUUUCCCACUGCUCCCAAAAAACAGGAAGCUUUGGCAACCCUAGGCUAUAGCAGAGUAGCUACAAUUGAGUAGCAGCAGACUCCAGGGUGACCCAGUCCACCAUCCUCUAUUGGCUGUUACACCCAGACCAUUGUACUCACUGGUGCCAAGUCCCAAUAGAUAUUUGUUUGCAACCCUAGUCUACCUCUCCAGCUUCAUUUCUUGCCUUACGUCCUUUCAGCUGCUACUUUCAACUCCAGCCACAAUGAGCUACUUCCACGUCCUUGCAUGUGAUUCCCUCCUGUCUCUUUUGCAUGUGUUAUUCCUUCUAUCUGGAAUACCCCUCCUCUCCCUGCUCCUUGCUUGGCCAACUCCUAAUAAUUUUCAAGUCUCAGAUCAGGGAGCUCCUCUUACAGGAAGCCUGCUUUGAUUUGUGCUCCCCCUAGCCCCUGCUCCAUGUCCUACUCCUGUUGAGUAUUCACCACUCUUGUGGUUGCCUCUUUACUUGUCUGUCUACCUCCUUAGGAGUUCCAAGAUGGCAGGAACAGGGGCUUCUCAUUUGCUGUGAAGCCUCUAACCCCUAGCAUGGAGGCUAGCUCAAUAAUAUUGCCAGAAGCAACACAUUCUACCUGGGCUUCCACUUUUCUCCUUGUAAAGUAAAGCUCUAGUAUCCUAAGAACACCCACCUUCCUGGAUGAAACAAGGACCAGAAGUCCCAAAUGUGCCUCUCACAGUCCUGUUUUAUUAUUAUUAUUAUUUUGAGACAGAGUCUCACUCUGUUGCCAAAGCUGGAGUACAGUGGCGCGAUCUUGGCUCACUGCAAUCUCCAACUCCUGGGCUGAAGCCAUCCUCCCACCUCAGCUUCCCAAGUAGCUGGGACAUAGGUGCAUGCCGCCACACCUGGUUAAUUUUUGUAUUUUUUGUAGAGACAGGGUUUCAGCAUGUUGCCCAGGCUGGUCUUGAACUCCUGGGCUCAAGCAAUUUGCCCGCUUCGGUCCCCCAAAGUGUUGGGAUUACAGGCCUGAGCCACUAUGCCCAGCCUUUUGUUUUUAAAAUCUGAAUUAGUGCCAAUAUUUAAAAAUCUGGAAACACAAAAUGCGUCACUUCUUACUUGGAUUGAAAAAAAUAUAAACAUUUGGCAAGGCAAGAGCUGGAAUAGUGCAUGGCAACACUCACCCGGCUGAGUCACAGCCUACCUCGCAAAUGGGGCUGUACGUGCUUUCCUGUUUCCGCAAGUACCCAUCAGCCCUUCACUGAUUUACGUUGCCUGCUUGGUUCCUGGAGGCAGCCAGUUCCAGACCCUGCCCUAGCCUGGCCUUUGGGGUAGAAAUGACCAUCCCAACAGGACAGGAAUUUCCUGGGAGGGGAGGGAGUCUGGCUCUGACUUCCUUUAGACCACCUGGGGGAAGAGACCCCUUUGCUUAUAGCCUUCCCCACUGUGUACACACACUAUGAGAUUUUUAAUCUUGGGACAGUCCUGAGCAGCUAUCAUCUGCCAAAACAUGACCUGCCACCAGGACCACGCAUGAACAGCAGAUGCGAAAAUAAGCAGCCACUCCUGCCCUGAUUUUCCUAACAUUUAACCAGUAGAGCACUUAUAUUUUUGUCAGCUGUCCCCUGGGAGAGCAGGGAGUCAGAGAUCCAUUUCCUGGAAAUCACUCCCGGGCCAGAUCACAUAACCCUUUUUCUGUGUCUGAGAUCCUUUCACCACUGCCACCUUCUCUGGAUCCCAUCUUAGUGCUGGGAUGCGGGGAAGUGAGAAAACAGGUACAGUCGUUCCUUGGGGUAGGUUCCAGGACAAUGCCCCUCACUCCCCAUCCCUCGGAUACCAACAUCCACAGCUGCUUAUGUCCCUUACAUAAAGUGGCAUAAUAUUUGCAUAUAACUUAUGCACAUUCUUCUGUAUACUUUAAAUCAUCUCUAGAUUACUUACAAUACCUAAUGCAAUGUAAAUGCUAAACAAAGUUAUAUUUUAUUUUUAUUUGAAUUUUUGUUGUUUUUUUUAAUUUUUAUUUUUAAAUAUUUUCUGUCUACAGUUGGUUGGAUCCAUGGAUGUGAAACCUGGGGAUAGGAAAGGCAUACUGUAUCCCCUGCCUUGUAGCAGCUCACAAUAUAAUGGGGAAUGGUUCCCUGCCAGCGAACAUGCUGUGUUUCGUUCAAUCAUUCAAAACAUUUGAGUGUCCACUGUGUGCCAGACGUGCUGGUCCCUCUGCUGUGCACAUCAUCCUCCUUGGUGUGAUGCUCCUUCGAGGCUCAGUUCAGAUGCUACUUCUCUGCUUGGCUUUUCCAGACUGCAUGAUACCCAGGCUGCCUGGCUGGGUCUUCCCAUGUAUUCCACCCCUGACCUGUACUGCCCCUGUUGCCAAGCUAUUUAUCAAAUUAUGUGAUUAAUAUCUGGGUAUUUUCUUACACUGGACCUCACUCAUAAGGGCAGGAGCUCUGUCCCGUUCACACACGAUCCUUCCCCGCCACGGCACUGCCCAGCACACAUAUGCUAGCAAAAAUUAUUUGACUGAAUAAAUCAGUGGUUUUCCAAGG